rnacentral:lncRNA from 1 species
UGCAUUAGUCUAUCCGGAUCGAUCACCGUCCUCAUGAUGAUCUUAUGAUCGAGAGCAUUUAAAAAUUAAAUACAUAUUUCUAAUUCUCAACACCUUGAAAAUAUGUAUCAAAACUAAUUUCAUGGAUGAUUCAAUGACACAUCACACUUAAAUGAAAAAUAAAUUUAUCAUUUUAUUGAUCAAAUCAAUGUAUUAAGUACAAAAUUAUAUUUUAGAGUUAUUACAAUGUGUCAGCC